GUCUGCGUAACCCGUUGCUGUUACGGAGGGAUUGGAAGCCAGCUACUAGAGGAAAAUGUUUAACUCUCUCUCUCUCUCUCUCUCUCUCUAUUAUUAAGAUAAUCAUCAUUUAAUUUGGUUGACGGUUAAAAUAUUUACUCCACCUGGACAUUUAGCGUCCAUCAACGAGACCCCUCAGGAGACUAUAUGGGGAAUUUUCCUGAUCGUCCUGCGCAGUAUUACAAUAACUCGGCUCCUGCGCAUUAUUAAAAUAACCCGACUGCAGGUGCGCAGUACUAAAAUUACUCGACUUCUGCGCAAUCCAGAUACUUGAUUGGGAAAUAUAUUAACACGUGCAAUUCAGAAAUGUAUACGUAGAAUAGAAUCCCAAUGUAGAAA